rnacentral:misc_RNA from 1 species
UCUUCUAUUCCUGCUUAAGAGAACUGAUCUGAUUGUAUCAAUUAGGUCACGGUGGAGUAGAAUUUCCAGCAAGUACGAGAUGACAGUAUUUUACAAACAAUCUCCUGUACUAAGCAUCGAUUAAUAGCAGGUGGCUUUCCAUAUAGUGAAGACCAAGAUUCACUAUCCUAUUUCUUCGCAUAGGUUAUCAACAUCGAAUUUUGCGGGUUCAUCUUGAAACCUUGUAGUGCUUGCAUGGCAACUGUCGAUUGUACCUCAUCACCAUAUUCUACAAAUGCAAUACCUG